AUUGAACGCUGGCGGCAUGCUUUACACAUGCAAGUCGAACGGUAACAGGUUAAGCUGACGAGUGGCGAACGGGUGAGUAAUGCAUCGGAACGUGCCCGAUCGUGGGGGAUAACGCAGCGAAAGCUGCGCUAAUACCGCAUACGAUCUGAGGAUGAAAGCGGGGGACCGUAAGGCCUCGCGCGAUCGGAGCGGCCGAUUUCAGAUUAGGUAGUUGGUGGGGUAAAGGCCCACCAAGCCAACGAUCUGUAGCUGGUCUGAGAGGACGACCAGCCACACUGGGACUGAGACACGGCCCAGACUCCUACGGGAGGCAGCAGUGGGGAAUUUUGGACAAUGGGCGAAAGCCUGAUCCAGCAAUGCCGCGUGCAGGAAGAAGGCCUUCGGGUUGUAAACUGCUUUUGUACGGAGCGAAAAGGCUCUCUCUAAUACAGGGGGCUCAUGACGGUACCGUAAGAAUAAGCACCGGCUAACUACGUGCCAGCCGCCGCAGUAA
rnacentral:rRNA from 1 species